rnacentral:lncRNA from 1 species
UCAUAGGAAAACUUAAGAAUAUUCUGGUCGUCUUGAAACACUUGAAACCGAAAAAGUAAUUACAGCAGCUACAGAAGAAUCAUCUCAAGUUUCCAAUGAUCGUUCAAAUCAGGGGAGAAAGACAUGGGAGUUACGAUUUUAUGAAGAAAUGUCUAUUCCUUGGAUUGAAUUGGUCUCUUAGGGAGGCCUUGCAAUCCCUUCGUGUGAGUUUUUGAAAUUUUGUCAUUUCAAAUCUUUUCAUUGUAACCAUGAAGACACAAUUGACAAAAACCCAAACGUAUUUGAAAGGCUGCAUAAUCAUCUAAUUGAAUUAUAUCCUAACUGGCAUAAAGAAGUAUCAUAUCCUUUGUGAAAACAAGAACAAAAAUUAGAAUAAACUACCUUAAUAAAAAGCUCAAACUGAUGAACGUAAGUGCUAAUCUAAGAAAAAAUAGACAGAUUGGUCAAUUUACAAAUUAAUAUUUAUUAUUCAUGUAUCUAUGUAAAAAAAAUAUGGAUACUAUAACUUUUAGUCAUUGCUAUUCUUUUAUUCAUCACUCUUAUAUUAUGUAAUAAAAUGGCAAAUUAGAUAAUAUUCAUAAGAAAUAUUGAUAUAAGCUUACAUGCAGAUAGUUGAUUAUUAUUAAUAUAUACUCUAUGCAAAUGAAUGUUAGUCUGUUAAGUAAUUAGUUCUGAAAUAGAUUUUAUUAUUCUA